rnacentral:rRNA from 1 species
GAUGAACGCUGGCGGCGUGCCUAAUACAUGCAAGUCGAGCGAACAGACGCGGAUCUUGCUCCUCUGACGUUAGCGGCGGACGUGUGAGUAACACGUGGUUAACCUACCUCUAAGACUGGGAUAACUUCGUGAAACCGGAGCUAAUACCGGAUAAUAUCUUGAACCGCAUGGUUCAAUAGUGAAUGACGGUUUUGCUGUCACUUAUAGCUUGAUCCGCGCCGCAUUAGCUAGUUGGUAAGGUAACGGCUUACCAAGGCAAGGAGGCGUAGCCGACCUGGGAGGGUGAUAGGCAACACGGGAACGGAGCCACGGUCAAGAGGACUACGGGAGGCAGCAGUAGGGAAUGUUACGCAAUGGGCGAAAGCAUGACGGAGCAACGCCGAGUGAGUGAUGAAGGUCUUCGGAUCGUAAAAAUCGGUUAUGAGGGAAGAACAAAUGUGAAAGUAACUAUGGACGUAGUGACGGUACCUAAACAGAAAGCCACGGCUAACUACGUG